GGCCCGGUGGCACAGUGGUUGUGCAUCUGCAUGUAAUGAAACUCCCAUAAAGACUCUAUGCAGGCGACGCUGGUUCGACUCUAGACUCGAGCCA